CCACCACCCUCUACCGUACUCUAGCUCAGUAGUUUUGGAUGCAGUUCCCAGGUUGAGCCCGGGGAUUUCACAUCCAACUUGCUGAACCACCUACGCGCGCUUUACGCCCAGUAAUUCCGAUUAACGCUUGCACCCUUCGUAUUACCGCGGCUGCUGGCACGAAGUUAGCCGGUGCUUAUUCUGUUGGUAACGUCAAAACAGCAAGGUAUUAACUUACUGCCCUUCCUCCCAACUUAAAGUGCUUUACAAUCCGAAGACCUUCUUCACACACGCGGCAUGGCUGGAUCAGGCUUUCGCCCAUUGUCCAAUAUUCCCCACUGCUGCCUCCCGUAGGAGUCUGGACCGUGUCUCAGUUCCAGUGUGACUGAUCAUCCUCUCAGACCAGUUACGGAUCGUCGCCUUGGUAGGCCUUUACCCCACCAACUAGCUAAUCCGACCUAGGCUCAUCUGAUAGCGUGAGG
rnacentral:rRNA from 1 species